GAUGAACGCUAGCUACAGGCUUAACACAUGCAAGUCGAGGGGCAGCAUGGUCUUAGCUUGCUAAGGCCGAUGGCGACCGGCGCACGGGUGAGUAACACGUAUCCAACCUGCCGUCUACUCUUGGACAGCCUUCUGAAAGGAAGAUUAAUACAAGAUGGCAUCAUGAGUCCGCAUGUUCACAUGAUUAAAGGUAUUCCGGUAGACGAUGGGGAUGCGUUCCAUUAGAUAGUAGGCGGGGUAACGGCCCACCUAGUCUUCGAUGGAUAGGGGUUCUGAGAGGAAGGUCCCCCACAUUGGAACUGAGACACGGUCCAAACUCCUACGGGAGGCAGCAGUGAGGAAUAUUGGUCAAUGGGCGAGAGCCUGAACCAGCCAAGUAGCGUGAAGGAUGACUGCCCUAUGGGUUGUAAACUUCUUUUAUAAAGGAAUAAAGUCGGGUAUGGAUACCCGUUUGCAUGUACUUUAUGAAUAAGGAUCGGCUAACUCCGUGCCAGCAGCCGCGGUAAUACGGAGGAUCCGAGCGUUAUCCGGAUUUAUUGGGUUUAAAGGGUGCGUAGAUGGAUGUUUAAGUCAGUUGUGAAAGUUUGCGGCUCAACCGUAAAAUUGCAGUUGAUACUGGAUAUCUUGAGUGCAGUUGAGGCAGGCGGAAUUCGUGGUGUAGCGGUGAAAUGCUUAGGUAUCACGAAGAACUCCGAUUGCGAAGGCAGCCUGCUAAGCUGCAACUGACAUUGAGGCUCGAAAGUGUGGGUAUCAAACAGGAUUAGAUACCCUGGUAGUCCACACGGUAAACC
rnacentral:rRNA from 1 species